GGAUGAACGCUAGCUACAGGCUUAACACAUGCAAGUCGAGGGGCAUCAGGAAGAAAGCUUGCUUUCUUUGCUGGCGACCGGCGCACGGGUGAGUAACACGUAUCCAACCUGCCCUUUACUCGGGGAUAGCCUUUCGAAAGAAAGAUUAAUACCCGAUAGCAUAAUGAUUCCGCAUGGUUUCAUUAUUAAAGGAUUCCGGUAAAGGAUGGGGAUGCGUUCCAUUAGGUUGUUGGUGAGGUAACGGCCCACCAAGCCUUCGAUGGAUAGGGGUUCUGAGAGGAAGGUCCCCCACAUUGGAACUGAGACACGGUCCAAACUCCUACGGGAGGCAGCAGUGAGGAAUAUUGGUCAAUGGACGCUAGCCUGAACCAGCCAAGUAGCGUGAAGGAUGAAGGCUCUAUGGGUCGUAAACUUCUUUUAUAUAAGAAUAAAGUGCAGUAUGUAUACUGUUUUGUAUGUAUUAUAUGAAUAAGGAUCGGCUAACUCCGUGCCAGCAGCCGCGGUAAUACGGAGGAUCCGAGCGUUAUCCGGAUUUAUUGGGUUUAAAGGGAGCGUAGGUGGACUGGUAAGUCAGUUGUGAAAGUUUGCGGCUCAACCGUAAAAUUGCAGUUGAUACUGUCAGUCUUGAGUACAGUAGAGGUGGGCGGAAUUCGUGGUGUAGCGGUGAAAUGCUUAGAUAUCACGAAGAACUCCGAUUGCGAAGGCAGCUCACUGGACUGCAACUGACACUGAUGCUCGAAAGUGUGGGUAUCAAACAGGAUUAGAUACCCUGGUAGUCCACACAGUAAACGAUGAAUACUCGCUGUUUGCGAUAUACAGUAAGCGGCCAAGCGAAAGCAUUAAGUAUUCCACCUGGGGAGUACGCCGGCAACGGUGAAACUCAAAGGAAUUGACGGGGGCCCGCACAAGCGGAGGAACAUGUGGUUUAAUUCGAUGAUACGCGAGGAACCUUACCCGGGCUUAAAUUGCAGUGGAAUGAUGUGGAAACAUGUCAGUGAGCAAUCACCGCUGUGAAGGUGCUGCAUGGUUGUCGUCAGCUCGUGCCGUGAGGUGUCGGCUUAAGUGCCAUAACGAGCGCAACCCUUAUCUUUAGUUACUAACAGGUUAUGCUGAGGACUCUGGAGAGACUGCCGUCGUAAGAUGUGAGGAAGGUGGGGAUGACGUCAAAUCAGCACGGCCCUUACGUCCGGGGCUACACACGUGUUACAAUGGGGGGUACAGAAGGCAGCUAGCGGGUGACCGUAUGCUAAUCCCAAAAGCCUCUCUCAGUUCGGAUCGAAGUCUGCAACCCGACUUCGUGAAGCUGGAUUCGCUAGUAAUCGCGCAUCAGCCACGGCGCGGUGAAUACGUUCCCGGGCCUUGUACACACCGCCCGUCAAGCCAUGGGAGCCGGGGGUACCUGAAGUACGUAACCGCAAGGAUCGUCCUAGGGUAAAACAGGUGA
rnacentral:rRNA from 1 species